UACAGAGGGGGCGAGCGUUGUUCGGAAUUACUGGGCGUAAAGGGCGCGUAGGCGGCCACCGCAAGUCAGUUGUGAAAUCUCUGGGCUUAACCCAGAACGGUCAGCUGAUACUGCGGGGCUAGAGUGCAGAAGGGGCAACUGGAAUUCUCGGUGUAGCGGUGAAAUGCGUAGAUAUCGAGAGGAACACCUGCGGCGAAGGCGGGUUGCUGGGCUGACACUGACGCUGACAGCGCGAAAGCUAGGGGAGCGAACGGG
rnacentral:rRNA from 1 species